rnacentral:misc_RNA from 1 species
GCACUAGUGACGAAACAAAUACUUUUGAGGAUACAGGUGAUAGUGUGUGCCCCGCCCAAGAUGCUCUCUUUAGGGUUCAUGAGAGGCUUGAUUCGGAGCAGGCACUGGGUGAUGAAAACACUGAUGAGGGAGUUCCUCAAGUUACUGCCCGCCUACUUGUGCCAUCUGACCAAAUUGGAUGUAUUAUUGGUAAAGCUGGUCAAAUUAUUCAAGGCAUCCGUAGUGAAACUGGUGCGCACAUUCGCAUCUUGAAGGAGGAGCAACUACCUGCAUGUGCUAUUAGUGG